rnacentral:rRNA from 1 species
UACGUAGGGUGCAAGCGUUGUCCGGAAUUAUUGGGCGUAAAGAGCUCGUAGGCGGUCUGUCGCGUCUGCUGUGAAAACCUGGGGCUUAACCCCGGGCCUGCAGUGGGUACGGGCAGACUAGAGUGCGGUAGGGGGAGACUGGAAUUCCUGGUGUAGCGGUGAAAUGCGCAGAUAUCAGGAGGAACACCGGUGGCGAAGGCGGGUCUCUGGGCCGAUACUGACGCUGAGGAGCGAAAGCUAGGGGAGCAAACGGGG